ensembl:lncRNA
CCCCCGGCCUCGCCCCGGCUCCGGGCGGCGGGGGCAGGCGGGUCCCGCCGGGGGUGCCCGGGCCCCGCUUCCAGCCCCGGGAGGCGGCUGAGGGCCGGGCCUGGCAGCGCGGCGGGCCCCGGGGCCUGAGGGGGAGCGCGGCGGGGCCGUGCUGCGCCCGGGAUUCCCAGCGAGCCCGCUUAGCGCCGGUCGGAGCGGUCCCGGAGCUGCUCCGGAGGCCCCGGCAGGUUCCCAGCCAAGGCUGGGGUCACUGGCAUGUAAAAGGAUCCCAGCUCCAGAGGUUCAGGGAAGUAGGCAGGGCGUACAGAUUCCACAUCUCUGAGGGAGAUUUGUUCUCUCCAGAAAUCUCAGGAACCAAUUCUGCAACUGAUAUGAACGCUGCAAGGGUGGCAGCCCCCAAACCCAGGGGUCUCUUCAUCAUUACUUUUAGGCUGAGAGUGCACCAUGAUUGUACGAUCUAAGCAUGCAGAUUUCUGGCGGAAUAGACCUGACUACAGUUGACAGGAAAAUGAUCAUAGCUGCAGCUGUUCAGUAAGCAUGGGAAGUCCGAAGCUGUCUCCAGCAUCUCUUCUCCAGCAAAUUGCACAUCUGAUACACCAGAGGACUUUUCUACAUCCAUGGACAACUUUUCAAGUUGGGAGGAUGCAGGAAUGCUGUGCAAACAGAGUAUCCCUGUGAGCAGUUCCUCAUAACCAUUUUCUCAAGCAGUUGUGGCUGCAGAUUUUCCCAUUCAGCACCACUGCCUGCUCAGACCUGCCCCUGCCACCCUUUCCACGGUGUGAGCACAGCUGCCUGUGGUGCCUUGCAGGAAGCCAGAUAUUGCUUUUUUUUUUUUUUUUCUGAAGUUAUUUUUAACCUGGCUCUGUUCAUUCAUGUAGCUUGUCAUGUGGCGCCACAAAAAGUGCCAGGCACUGUGAUAUGGAACAGGGAGCCAGUGGCAAGGGGUCCUGGGUGUACCUUAGGCUGUUGUUACUGCUGAAAACAGCAUAUCAAAUCAACUGUGGCCUGAAGAAUCUGAUUUAUUAUGGUGGUAAAUCCAGGUUUUGGGCACCGAGUCUGAGAUUAGAAACAGCAUAGUCCUUUUAAGCUACAAAGCUCACUCUGCUUCUUAAAUGCAUUCAAUUUCUUUCCAUGAGUAUCAUUGCCCUUGAAAAGGUGCUGGCUCAGAUAUUGUCCCCCUCCAUUGGUUUAACUUAGUGCUGGAUCACAUCUGAUCUAUCCAUAGCUCACACAAAUCUAGCAUAAAAUCCUAAAGAUAGCAUUAAACAGUAUAUUGUCCAGUUUUGCAGAACACAAUUACAUGGUCACACCUGAUCUGGUUCCGUUGUGCACUUCCAUUUACUCCAGAAAUGCAGAGGUCGGGUAUUACUAAUCAUGGAACCAGAAUUACAAGAAAAACAAGCUCAUUUUCAUAAACCUGAUAGGCAUUCAUAUUGCCAGCAAAAAAUGUAUAGGGGCUCAAAAACUGCAAAAUAGUUGAAAAGAGUCCAGACAACGUACAUCAGUGCUUGUACUGUAAGUUCUUCUUCCAUUUCUAGUGUUGCAGAAGCUUGUCUAAGCCACAAAGUUUGCAUGUAUGCUACAGUUCUCUAAGGCACAUUUUUAAUCCUACUUUCUUGACUUGAAUUAUAUGCAGAUAAAAGCUCAGACCCCCGUUUGUAUAUUAUACCUGUAAAUUCAUAUAUAACACACAUAUUUAUAUACAUAUACAAAUAUGUUUUAUAUGUACUUAAACUUUCUGCACAUGUGAUCACACAUAUUUAACUUCAUACGCUGCGUGUGUUUUUGUUAGAAGAAGGAGCACAGUCAGUUCCCAGCACAGGUAGUGCAGCCUUCAGCUGAGACUGUAUAGCAGCCUCAGGCUCAACAGCCUGGCAGGAAAACCUGAAAAUCCUGCUGCAUCCCACAGGUUUCUGUGACUGAUAGAAACACCAUCUCUGCUGAGGCGUUAGAAGUUCCCAAAGAAGGAACCUUUCCUUCACUCUUUUAAACUCACUAAAUCGUUACACAACUGAAUUUUCAGUCUUUUUGAUGCUAAACUUGAAAUAUGUUAUUGCCACACACAGACCAAACGAGCUUCAAAUAAGGGGUAUGAAACUGAAACUGAUGGGAGUUUUAUUACCUGGCUUUAAAGAGGCUGACAUUUCUCCCCAAGGUUGCUAAACCAUCGGCUUUUAUAAAUUUUAUUCUAAAAGAAUGUUUAUAUAAAGUCCAAGUUUGUAGGUAAGGGAGCUAGUGAGAAUGAUGCUGUUGUGUCCCAUAGUUAACAGUACAGUGAUAUCAUAUCUAGCAGUGACUUUAAAAACAGUCCUACUGCUGCCUUAAAUUCGGUGAAUUGUUCUGUAUUUGGUCUAUUCUGGGAGCAAAGUAGAACAGUCAAUACAUAUGUGCCAUGAAAUCUAAUUUUUUGUUUUGUUUUGUAAUUGAUCUGUUGAUUUGAUCUGUUUUGUAAUUGAUCUGUCGCAGCAGCUGGAAACUUCAGAAAAGAACAACAAAGGGACUGGAGACACCAGAGAGAAAUGUCCUGUAGGAUGUCAAGGCUUACAUUUAUUGUUCUCACUGGUGAUCUCAAAGAAUGGACAAAAAUUAGAGGACAGCAAAUAAUAAACGCAGCCUGGAGAUAUUAGAAACA